rnacentral:rRNA from 1 species
UAAUACGUAGGGGGCAAGCGUUGUCCGGAAUCAUUGGGCGUAAAGAGCGUGUAGGCGGUCCGGUAAGUCGGCUGUGAAAGUCCAGGGCUCAACCCUGGGAUGCCGGUCGAUACUGCCGGACUAGAGUUCGGAAGAGGCGAGUGGAAUUCCCGGUGUAGCGGUGAAAUGCGCAGAUAUCG